GACGAACCGUGCGAACGUUGUUCGGAAUCACUGGGCUUAAAGGGCGCGUAGGCGGGGCGGCAAGUCCGGGGUGAAAGCCCCCAGCUCAACUGGGGAAGAGCCUUGGAAACUGCCGGUCUCGAGGGAGGUAGGGGUCUGUGGAACUUCGGGUGGAGCGGUGAAAUGCGUUGAUAUCCGAAGGAACGCCGGUGGCGAAAGCGACGGACUGGACCUCUUCUGACGCUGAGGCGCGAAAGCCAGGGGAGCAAACGGG
rnacentral:rRNA from 1 species